AGAUUGAACGCUGGCGGCAGGCCUAACACGUGCAAGUCGAGCGGUAGAGAGGUGCUUGCAUCUCUUGAGAGCGGCGGACGGGUGAGUAAUGCCUAGGAAUCUGCCUAGUGGUGGGGGAUAACGUUCGGAAACGGACGCUAAUACCGCAUACGUCCUACGGGAGAAAGCGGGGGACCUUCGGGCCUCGCGCCAUUAGAUGAGCCUAGGUCGGAUUAGCUAGUUGGUGAGGUAAUGGCUCACCAAGGCGACGAUCCGUAACUGGUCUGAGAGGAUGAUCAGUCACACUAGAACUGAG
rnacentral:rRNA from 1 species